rnacentral:rRNA from 1 species
UACGAAGGGGGCUAGCGUUGUUCGGAAUCACUGGGCGUAAAGCGCACGUAGGCGGAUUUUUAAGUCAGGGGUGAAAUCCCGGGGCUCAACCUCGGAACUGCCUUUGAUACUGGAGAUCUUGAGUCCGGAAGAGGUAAGUGGAACUGCGAGUGUAGAGGUGAAAUUCGUAGAUAUUCGCAAGAACACCGGUGGCGAAAGCGCUCUGCUGGACCUGCACUGACACUGAGGGACGAAAGCUAGGGGAGCGAAAGGG